UGAGCAACCUGCCCUUCUCAUCGGAAUAAGCGUUGGAAACGACGUCUAAUGCCGAAUACGACCUCCUUUCGCAUGAUCGGAGGUGGAAAGCUCCGGCGGAGAAGGAUGAGCUCGCGGCCUAUCAGCUAGUUGGUGAGGUAACGGCCCACCAAGGCGACGACGGGUAGCCGGCCUGAGAGGGUGACCGGCCACACUGGGACUGAGACACGGCCCAGACUCCUACGGGAGGCAGCAGG
rnacentral:rRNA from 1 species